rnacentral:misc_RNA from 1 species
GUCCAAUUCUUACAGAGGAAGUACAGUUCAAAUGUUUCUUCAAUUAUUAUUAUUAAAAUCCAGAGAGCGAUGCCAUAAAAACAAAAAGUAAAAUAAAAUAGUCAUAAUAUCCUUCCUCGAAGUUGAUCGCUUUGUUGGUCCAUUUGGAAGCCAUAGAUUUCACCAGCGUAGUAGGUUCCAGAUAACCUUUUAUCAAUUUCUUUUCUUUUUUAAAGAAAUCUUCAUAAUUCCUCAGUUUUCAUUCAAAGUUUUUGGGCUCUGUGGGUAUAUCUCUGCUUCAAUUUUACUACUGUACAGUGAUUGUACAUGGUGGGAACAUGUCAUGGUUUCUGGUGAAUUUAGUACCUGGGUUGUUGAGGGAGAGGUAUUAACUCAGUUGCGUGAGUGAGUGAGUGAGUAUUUGACUGUUGUUGGGUUGCUGUGGAAGGUUUGUUGGGAAAGAGGGUCUAAUUAAUCUUGAGUUUCAGUUGUCAUCAGAGCCAGUUUCUUUCUUCUCUCUGCCAGGUUAUAUUUUUAACCCUUUCUCCAGUUCUGCUAGAUAUUUUUUGAGCCUCUAUUGUCACCUAAGCACGUAGCCAGUUCAUCAAGCACUUGGUGAUUGGUAUUUUCUCUUCUCUUUUUAUACAGAAACUGAAUCUUUCAUUGGCUUGAGCCCCUACUUGUGAUUACUCUCUCCCUGUGGAAAACGCUAUCUUUGUUCCUUUGUUAGAGCUGUGUAUCUUCUUUGAGCUCACUAUUUUGUCUCAAGCCUCACUUCACCUAUUUGGGCUAUCAAUAGGUGAGCAAUCUUGAAGAUCUCACCUUUCUGGUUUGUUUCUUUUUGCUGAUGUUAAUUGGGCUUGUAUUUUCUUCCUAAUUGAGUAAGUGUAUUAAUUCAUAGCUUAUUUUCAAAUUUAGACAAUUUAUUAUUAGAUCCUGCUUUGACUGUUUCAAUAGGUUGAUUCCUAUCUUUUAUAGUUAUAUGGGGUUCUCUGAUGAGUGGAUCAGAUCUGAACUAUGUUGCUGAUGUUGCUUAAUCUGAGUUCUUUUCUUGCAGUUUAGUUCUAGAUUAGGAGUUUGAUUCAUUGUUUGAAAGAUGAACGGCGCUGUAUUGGUGGCUAUUGCUGCAUGCAUUGGUAGCUUCUUGCAAGGAUGGGAUAAUGCUACUAUUGCUGGGGCUAUUGUUUACAUCAAGGAGGACCUCGAUUUGCAAACUACAGUGGAAGGUCUAGUUGUGGCCAUGUCUCUUAUUGGAGCCACAGCAAUCACAACAUGCUCAGGAGCAAUUUCAGAUUGGCUUGGUCGCCGUCCAAUGCUAAUAAUUUCAUCAGUGCUUUACUUUAUUAGUGGUUUAAUAAUGGCUUGGUCUCCAAAUGUCUACAUCCUGUGCAUAGCAAGGCUUUUAGAUGGAUUUGCAAUUGGCUUAGCUGUUACACUUGUUCCAGUGUAUAUAUCUGAGACUGCCCCAUCAGAUAUAAGGGGAAUGUUAAAUACCCUUCCUCAGUUCACCGGUUCAGGAGGAAUGUUUCUGUCAUAUUGUAUGGUUUUUGGAAUGUCUUUAAUGCCCUCACCAAGUUGGAGGUUGAUGCUUGGAAUACUUUCUAUACCUUCUCUACUAUAUUUUGCAUUGACAAUAUUUUAUUUGCCUGAAACUCCUCGAUGGCUUGUGAGUAAAGGGAAGAUGCUUGAGGCUAAACGAGUUCUGCAGAGAUUACGUGGAAGGGAAGAUGUUUCAGGUGAGAUGGCUUUGCUGGUUGAAGGUCUUGGUAUUGGGGGCGAAACUUCCAUAGAGGAGUACAUAAUAGGCCCUGCAGAUGAACUUGCUGAUGAUCAUGAACCCACUGCUGAGAAAGACAAAAUCAAAUUAUAUGGGCCUGAAGCAGGCCUCUCCUGGAUUGCCAAACCUGUCACUGGACAGAGUUCUCUUGCUCUUGUAUCUCGCCAGGGAACCAUGGUGAACCAAAGCAUGCCUCUCAUGGAUCCUCUAGUGACUCUUUUUGGUAGUGUUCAUGAGAAGAAUCCUGAAACAGGAAGCAUGCUUUUCCCUAAUUUUGGUAGCAUGUUUAGUACAGCAGAAUCUCAUGUUAAACAUGAGCAUUGGGAUGAAGAGAGCUUACAGAGGGAAGGUGAGGACUACACAUCAGAAGCUGCUGGGGGAGACUCAGAUGAUAAUUUACACAGUCCAUUAAUCUCUCGUCAGACAACAAGCCUGGAAAAGGAUAUGCACCCCCCACCUUCCCAUGGUAGCAUUCUGAGCAUGAGACGCCAUAGCAGUCUCAUGCAAGGAACUGGGGAGGCUGUUGGGGCUACAGGUAUUGGUGGCGGUUGGCAGUUGGCGUGGAAAUGGUCUGAGAGAGAAGGAGAAGAUGGAAAGAAGGAAGGAGAAUUUAAAAGGGUUUAUUUGCACCAGGAGGGAGUCCCUGGAUCUCGUCGUGGGUCUCUGGUUUCACUUCCUGGUGGUGAUGUUCCUGCAGAAGGCGAGUAUGUCCAGGCUUCUGCUCUGGUAAGUCAACCUGCCCUCUAUUCCAAGGAGCUUCUGGAUCAGCAUGCAGUUGGACCUGCAAUGGUUCACCCUUCUGAAACUGCCAAAAAGGGGCCAAUUUGGGAUGCUUUACUUGAUCCAGGAGUCAAGCGAGCAUUGAUUGUUGGGAUUGGAAUUCAAAUUCUUCAGCAGUUUUCAGGUAUCGGUGGUAUUCUCUACUACACUCCUCAAAUUCUUGAAGAGGCAGGUGUUGAAGUUCUUCUUGUGAACCUGGGAAUUAGUUCAACGUCUGCAUCAUUCCUUAUUAGUGCAUUCACAACAUUUCUGAUGCUACCUUGUAUAGCCGUAGGCAUGAGGCUCGUGGAUGUCUCAGGCAGAAGGACUCUGCUACUCACCACAAUUCCUGUGCUUAUAGGCUCCCUCAUCGUCCUAAUAAUCGUCCAACUGGUGGACUUGGGUACAGUCGCAGAUGCAGUGAUCUCAACUGUUUGUGUUGUCAUCUACUUCUGCUGCUUUGUUAUGGCUUAUGGGCCAAUUCCGAAUAUCCUUUGCUCAGAGAUCUUCCCCACAAGAGUUCGUGGACUGUGCAUUGCCAUCUGUGCCCUAGUUUACUGGAUUGGGGAUAUCAUUGUUACCUAUACACUGCCUGUAAUGCUAACUUCAGUUGGCCUAAAGGGUAUCUUUAUCGUUUUUGCUGUCAUGUGUGCCAUCUCUUGGGUCUUCGUCUUCCUGAAGGUCCCAGAAACCAAAGGUAUGCCCCUUGAAGUCAUUACAGAGUUCUUUGCUGUUGGCGCAAGACAAGCUGCUGCUGCCAAGAGUGAGUGACAAAGCUUGGAUGGCCUGCUGAUUAUUAUGCAGUUUGAGCUGCUAAAGAUGUCAUUAUAUUGAGAACAAAGAUCUUAUAAUUAAACAAUUAAAUGCCAUUUUGUUUAAAAUUUUUGCAUUAUAAUAUGAUAAUACUAAAUAUAGGGAGUUGAU